rnacentral:rRNA from 1 species
GACGAACGCUGGCGGUGUGCUUAACACAUGCAAGUCGAACGGUAAGGCCCUUUCGGGGGUACACGAGUGGCGAACGGGUGAGUAACACGUGAGUAACCUGCCCUCAUCUCUGGGAUAACAGUCGGAAACGGUUGCUAAUACUGGAUAUGAGCUUGCAAGGCAUCUUGUGGGUUGGAAAGAUUUUUUUGGUUGGGGAUGGACUCGCGGCCUAUCAGCUUGUUGGUGAGGUAGUGGCUCACCAAGGCUUCGACGGGUAGCCGGCCUGAGAGGGCGACUGGCCACAUUGGGACUGAGAUACGGCCCAAACUCCUACGGGAGGCAGCAGUGGGGAAUAUUGCACAAUGGACGGAAGUCUGAUGCAGCAACGCCGCGUGCGGGAUGACGGCCUUCGGGUUGUAAACCGCUUUCAAUUGUGACGAAGCUUUUUUGUGACGGUAGCAGUAGAAGAAGCACCGGCUAACUACGUG